GGGGAUAUAGCUCAGUUGGUAGAGUGUUUGCCUCACACACCACACAAGGCCCUGGGUUCAAUCCCCAGCACCACUA
rnacentral:tRNA from 1 species